GAUGAGAGCCUCACACUUGCCUAAGCCGCCCGCUUUCUUUAAUCUUUAUCUCUCUCGCCGAUCGAGUGAGAGCGAGCGAACGAGCGAGCAAUGGAGUUGGCUAUGGGCUCCCGCUCUCCUCUCACCUUUCGCCCUCCAAACCCUAGAGAAGCUCCUCCUUCUCUCCGCCUCGCUAAAGAUAUCUUUGGCGGUAGCCCUUGCCUAUGUUUAGCCAUCAAAGGACGGAAGAAUCCCAGCAUCCAGUUGAGGUCCUCGGGUCGAACAGCUACCAGGUGCUCGGUUUCAUCGACAACAGAAACCACCUCCGUAGGGAAAAAGAAGCUAAGGACAAGAAGAGAUGUACGGAAUAUAGCGAUUGUUGCUCAUGUAGAUCAUGGGAAAACAACUUUGGUGGAUGCAAUGUUGAAGCAAGCGAAGGUUUUUCGUGAUAACCAAGUUGUAAAAGAGAGGAUAAUGGAUUCUAAUGAUCUGGAGAGAGAGAGGGGAAUUACGAUACUUAGCAAAAAUACAUCAAUAUCCUACAAGGGUACUAAGAUAAAUAUCAUCGAUACUCCAGGUCAUUCUGACUUUGGCGGGGAAGUGGAGCGUGUCCUGAACAUGGUGGAAGGAGUACUUCUUGUGGUAGAUUCUGUGGAGGGACCAAUGCCGCAGACGAGAUUUGUUCUAAAGAAAGCUUUAGAAUAUGGACAUGCUGUUGUUGUUGUUGUGAAUAAAAUUGAUAGACCUUCAGCUCGUCCAGAUUUUGUGAUCAAUUCCACAUUUGAACUUUUUAUUGAAUUAAAUGCAACUGAUGAACAGUGUGAUUUCCAAGUGAUUUAUGCAAGUGGCAUCAAAGGGAAGGCAGGACUAUCUCCAGACAAUCUGGCUGAUGAUCUUGGACCUCUUUUUGAGGCUAUUCUUAGAUGCAUACCAGAGCCCAGUAUUGAUAAAGACGGUGCAUUACAGAUGCUUGUGACAAAUAUUGAAUAUGAUGAGCAUAAAGGGAGAAUAGCAAUUGGACGAUUGCAUGCUGGAGUAUUGCAGCGAGGACUGGAAGUGAAGGUAUGCACAUCAGAUGAAACAUGUAGACUUGCAAAAAUUAGUGAGCUUUUUGUGUAUGAAAACUUCACCAAAAUUCCAGCUGAAGAUGUGGAGGCUGGUGAUAUCUGUGCUGUAUGCGGUAUUAGUGACAUAAUGAUUGGGGAAACUAUAGCUGAUAAAAGUUCUGGGAAGGCAUUACCUACCAUUAAAGUGGAAGAGCCAACAGUGAGAAUGUCAUUCUCUAUCAACACCUCACCUUUUGCUGGCCGAGAGGGGAAAUAUGUAACAAGCCGAAAUCUUCGAGAUAGGCUCUCUCGUGAGCUUGAGAGAAAUUUGGCUAUGAGAGUAGAAGAUGGCGAAACAUCUGACACAUUUAUUGUUAGUGGGAGGGGCACGCUGCAUAUUACCAUCUUGAUUGAAAAUAUGCGAAGAGAGGGAUAUGAGUUUAUGGUGGGGCCACCAAAGGUCAUAAAUAAAAGGGUAGAUGAUAAGUUGCUGGAACCUUUCGAGAUUGCUACCGUGGAGGUACCAGAGGAAUACAUGGGACCUGUAGUGGAACUUCUAGGAAAAAGGCGUGGGCAAAUGUUUGAUAUGCAAGGAGCUGGGAGUUAUCCUUACAGUCCUUUGCUUUCAUUAGGUCGGAGGGAACAUCAUUGCUUAAAUACAAGAUUCCCACACGUGGCCUUCUUGGACUGAGAAAUGCAGUCCUAACUGCUUCUCGGGGCACAGCAGUUCUCAACACGAUAUUUGAUAGCUAUGGACCAUGGGCUGGUGAUAUCAGCACUCGUGAUCAGGGGUCCUUGGUUGCUUUUGAAAGUGGAACUACCACUUCAUAUGCUCUUUUUAGUGCACAAGAAAGGGGCCAAAUGUUUGUUGGUCCUGGUGUGGAAGUAUAUAAAGGUCAGAUAGUAGGUAUCCAUCAACGACCUGGUGAUUUAUCUCUUAAUGUGUGCAAAAAGAAGGCUGCAACAAAUGUACGGUCCAACAAGGAACAGACAGUGGUUCUAGAUACACCCUUAAGUUACAGUUUGGAUGACUGCAUCGAAUACAUUGAAGAAGAUGAAUUGGUAGAGGUCACUCCUUUAAGUGUUCGAAUGUGCAAAAAUCCAAAGUUUGCAAAGAGAAAGUGAAGCUUCGUCUGAUAGUUUGUGCUGCUCUGCUAUGAACUUUGCACAUCUGGUGUGACACCAAUUCCUUCUGUGGCACUAUUUAUAUCCUAAAUUGAUCUCCACAGAUUCUAUAUAAACGUCCUCUGUUAGCAACAUGCACAGGUGCCUUAUCUAAAAUCUGCCAUUACUUACAGCUUCACUGUCAUAAGGUUGGUGCCUUGUUAUCAAGGUGUAUAUGUAAUUAUUGAGAAUCUUAGAUCCACGCUCUGAUUUUGGAGCUAUAAUCAUGUUAAAUGCUCUAUGUUAGGGUUUUUCUUUUUGUCCUUUCUUUCUUUUUUUUUUUUUAUCUUUUUUUUUUGUCUGUCUUUCAAAGAUCAUAUUUGUGAUGCAAAUCAAAAAAUGAGAAAGCACCUCUGAAUCCUUUGAUAUCCUUUUUUAGCCAAGUAAUGAUUACACCUUGAAGCAACCAUUGGCAAUUGGUAGAAGGGCAGAAGAUGCUGAUAAACUAAUUAUGAUCAUCAACUUUGUAUGAAGAUGUGCAUUUGUGUCAAUUUCCAAUUUUCAUUAGGACACUUGGAGAAAAUUAAUCAUGAGUUCAAAAAAUUGUACCAGAAGUAGAAAUUUUCAUUUGC